rnacentral:rRNA from 1 species
CAGCCGCCACGGGAAUACGGAGGAUCCGAGCGUUAUCCGGAAUUAUUGGGUUUAAAGGGUGCGUAGGCGGAUAGAUAAGUCAGUGGUGAAAGACGGUGGCUCAACCAUCGCAGUGCCGUUGAUACUGUUUAUCUUGAAUAUGGAUGAGGUAGGCGGAAUGUGGCAAGUAGCGGUGAAAUGCAUAGAUAUGCCACAGAACACCGAUUGCGAAGGCAGCUUACCAAGGCAAAAUUGACGCUGAGGCACGAAAGCGUGGGGAUCGAACAGGAUUAGAUACCCGCGUAGUCCCUGUCUCUUAUAU